UAGCUUUAAGAAAAUUAUUUAAGGUUUUACCUGCCCAGUGAAAAUUUUAACGGCCGCAGUACUUUGACUGUGCUAAGGUAGCAUAAUAAAUUGGCUUUUAAUUAAAGUCGGGUAUGAAAGGGAUCACGGAAAGUAACUGUCUCAAGUAUAUAUAAUUUUAAUUUAAUCAAUGGGUGAAAAUUCCCAUAGUAAUUUACAUUAGACGAGAAGACCCUAAGAGUUAUAAUUAAGAUGAAUUUAUUUUCAUGUAUCAUUUUUGUUGGGGCAACAUAGACUGGAUUAAACCGUCAUAAAUUAAUUUUACAUAACCAGUUAUAUUUAAAAAGAAAUAAACUACCUUAGGGAUAACAGCAUAAUUAAUUUUUAGAUUGUGACCUCGAUGUUGGAUUAAGGACUUUGUUUACUAGCCGUAAACCAAGAUAGUUCUGUUCGAACUGUAAUACCUU
rnacentral:rRNA from 1 species